ACAAUAAAUCGCAUCACGCGGACCUAGGUCCUGGGAGGCGGUGGGACUUUUGUAACUGGAAAAUGGAAAAUCAGAGACGUUAAAUUACCACUGGGAUGCAAACGGCAGCCUUCUCCAGGACGAAUUGAGGGGAGAGCCGGCUGCCUGGCCGAAUUAGAUAGUAAGCAUCCCGCGGGGACCUCUUAUUUUUUCCUGAGACGCCGUGGCACACGCCUCCACCCCCGGUGCCUGGGCUGUGCGCUCGAGAUGUUGGCUUUCGUGCUUCAGACUCUGCAAGGCGAUUGUGAGACGUCCAGUCGACGGAAGCAGCUCUUGAGGACAGAACUCGCUGCGGUGAGGGCCUGAUAGUAAUUACUCGGAGGGAAAUUACAGCUCUUCUCCCUGAGAAAGUCUGUUGAAUCUACCGGGAGAACCAUCAUGGCGGGUGGCCACCGAUUUGUCUCUCCAUGAAGACUGCAAAACUCAGGGUCAAUGUGAGGAUUAAAAGAAUUAAAACAUUUCCCAUCUUUAGCACAGUGCCUGGGACACAGCAAGUGUUGAGUAAGUAUUGGUCAUUAUUAUCCACGUUUCCUCGGAUCAUUGACAGCUCUAUCGUCUGUAUCUAAUGACUCCACCUUCUCCCUCAACAGGUAGCCUAAUAGCGUCUUAACAAAUUAGCAUAGUACUAGAACAAAUGUAAUGCUAAUCGAAGACUUGCAGAUUGAUUGUUGGUGAUGUUUGUGUCAUGAAUAACUUUAGUCCACAUUCAUGUCAAAACGAGGAAUUAUAAUUGCCUCAACAUGUCCUGUGUCCACUUCCUCAGGAUGCUCUGAACUUGUUAACCCUGCUUGUAAAUUCCUGACCUUGACUUAGUAGCAACUUCCCUUUGUAACCAAUCUAUGGCUCCUGCAAUCUCAAGCAAUUCUAGACUUCCUCCUCUCAGAAGCUAGACUUCUGGGAGACUUCCUAGGGUUGUUCAAUCAUCAGCGCCCUGUCCCCAGCUCUUUCAGGAAGUCCAGCCUCAUUGCUGCAGCAGAGAAUCCACCAUCUAUCCCCUCACUCCUCCAGGGAGCCCACCGGAUUUAUCAGAGGAGGCAGAGUUUCUCAACGAUGUUGGGGAACUCAGUGUGUUAAUCCUCAAAUAUUUAAUGAGUGGAUGGUAACCACAUUAAAGCUCCCAACAGUCAACUGGCACUUCAAGCACAGGGGUAGGGGUAUCAGUGUGUUGGAUGGGGCGGACAUUACCUGUUACAUCCUGUGGUAAACCUGAGGUAGAAGCAGGCAAAACCUCUGUCAGGCAUUAUCCUCUGGUUACAGAAUUGGACCAUCUCUCUUUCUGUAAUAUAAACCACUUCUCCAUGCUCUUUUUUUCCAGAUUUUUUAAAAAUCACUAUUUGAUCUAUACUUUGUGUUCAGUAUUCAUUUCAAAUCUCUUAUUUUAGAGACCUGGUCAGACUUACUUCUUGGCUCUUACCUUUUUUUGUUAAUAACUGCUUUAUUGAGAUGUAAUUCACAUGCCAUAAAGUUCACCCUUCUGAAGUACACAAUUUGGUAGUUUUUAGCAUAUGCGCAAUCGCUGUUACAGGCUCUUAACAUCAGCCCUGAUAUCAGUUCCUCCACAUUGAACCCAGCGUAUACGGGGUUAAAACUAAAAUCCACCACCGCCUUUCCUGCUUCUCUAGCUCCACUCAUAUGUAAAUACCUGUUUCUUUAAACUUGGACUCCUUGAGCUUUACAACUAAAUGGGAGUUACAAAUUGUUAAAAGCCCAGGUGGCCUGGAGUUGGAGCCACACCAAAGUUUAGCUAAUCAUGUGUCCUUGAGUUUGCCAGGAAAGCCGCUGUCUCAAGAGUAUCAAGGAGCGGAGGCUUCCCACACCUCGACUCCUCGACUCCCGGCACUCGAACCCGCCUCAAACAAGAAGACGAGACAACGGUGAAGGACGCCCACCUGCCAUCCUCCCAUCUCACCCCCCAACCCCCCGCCCACCCCCCUGCCCCGCCUUGCUGCAAGCAGCCUCUCAAGGCCACACGCAGGCUGGUGGGAAAGCACCGA